ensembl:lncRNA
UAAAUAUAAUUAGCAUCUGGAAAUUAACAAGGCUAGAGAGAAGGGCAAUGUGUUUUUAAGUGAAGGCGAUGAAUAGGUACUGUUUGGUGCAUAUAGAUAAAUGAGAAUUUAAUUUGUGAGACAUAAUGAGCCAGGUGCCUCUAAAAUAUUUUUGUUUCCUACUGGAUAUCACAGUGGAUAAUGGUGUAACUCUUCAAGUGCCUCAGCAAUAGAACCAAAAAAAGACUAGUGCUUCACUGCUAACAAGAAAGUGGAAAUGACUCACUGCUACUAAAGGACUCUUUGCCAUUCCUAUGAGGAUGACCAUCCAGCUCAGUUCCUCAGCAUCCUUGUGGCAGCAGUAGAUGUUUGGGGAAAACACACAAUAACAGGACACAUCUGGAGAGAUCCUUUCCCAGGUACACCAUCCUAACUUUCUGCAGUUGACACCAUAGGAUUUUUUCCACUUCUGUCGGUGUUCUGUUGGCCUCUGGAGAUAAAACUUACAAAAUAUACACUGACUAACACCCACAAGAAAUUUUGCAAGGAUGUAGAAGGGUAUUGCAGAAAUUAGCUCCUUGAGGUCACAGAUGAGUUGAGAAAAACAGAGAACAGAUAAUUGUUCCUAGUCCUUUUAUUUCCCCACUUAAAAACAUAUAUUUAAACCUUAAUUAAUGUCUUGAAGCCAAUGCUACAUUUAAGGCCUUGGGUGCUGAGUUCUUGCUAUGCAAGAUCAGCAUCUUGUUAAACUUCUCUUGGGAAUACUGAAAUAAAGAGAUAGAAAAGGGAAAGCAGAGGAAGCUUUUAGUGAAGGAAGUUAAGCUAUUCCAGACUGAAUCCUUGAGGGAAUAUCUUUCAAGAAGAAUUUCUAAGUGGUGGGAUGUAAUCUGGGAAAAUAUGCAGCCAGUAUCUUUUAUAUCCUUCUGAGAAGUGCUGGUGAAAUAAUAAAGGAGUGUUUUAUUUUCUUGGCACAUGGAAUAUUUUUUUCCUCUGUGCUAUAUGAGCAAAGUGUUAAGCAGCCUGCAAAGUAUUGCCUUUAAAUAUAGGAGUGAUAGAAGUCUUCAGCUGUUGUAAACCAUGGGAUGGAGCAUGGCUACUUCCUGUGAAUUUUUACAGGCCUCUGCCAAGCUACCUCAUUGCUGCUGUUUCCUGUUCUGUAAAUAAAUACUGCUGUAAUAUGUAGUGAGAUGGACAGAGCGUUAGCCUGAUAUGCGCGGGGCACAAUCUAGUACUUAAAUCUGUGUCUGAACUAAAAGGUGGGCCUCUCAUACACGCAUAUGGUAAGUCUAUGUAUCUGUGGGUGAGUCAAAUCUGUGACAGCCAAAUAAAUUAGUAAAUAAUCCUGCUCUAGUUUAAAACCACAAGUAUUAGCUGGAAAAUAAGAUAAUUAUUUCUGUAAGCUAUCCUGGAUGCCUCCUUUUCCUUUAGUUACUGUGCAUGUGCAUCACAUUUCAUACCAUACUUUCAUUCAUGAGCAAAUUAGUAUGUUUUGUGUGUUCUUGUCAUAUAAUUUACUCCUCUACUUUUCUGUAUGAUGGCAUUACAGUAAAUUAGUUUUGUUGUACUGACUGCAUUACAAACACUGCACAAUACAUUUCACAUCGGUUUAAUAUGUUUC